rnacentral:rRNA from 1 species
GGUCCGUAGGCGGGUCGGUAAGUCAGGGGUGAAAUGGUGCGGCUCAACCGUAGCACUGCCUUUGAUACUGUCGAUCUUGAGUUAUGGUGAAGUUGCCGGAAUAUGUAGUGUAGCGGUGAAAUGCAUAGAUAUUACAUAGAACACCGAUUGCGAAGGCAGGUGACUAACCAUGUACUGACGCUGAUGGACGAAAGCGUGGGGAGCGAACAGGAUUAGAUACCCUGGUAGUCCACGCCGUAAACGAUGGAUACUAGCUGUCCGGUACCUUGAGUACUGGGCGGCCAAGCGAAAGUGAUAAGUAUCCCACCUGGGGAGUACGUUCGCAAGAAUGAAACUCAAAGGAAUUGACGGGGGCCCGCACAAGCGGUGGAGCAUGUGGUUUAAUUCGAUGAUACGCGAGGAACCUUACCAGGGCUUAAAUGUGCGCCGACAGGUCCAGAGAUGGAUUUUCCCUCGGGCGUCGCACAAGGUGCUGCAUGGUUGUCGUCAGCUCGUGCCGUGAGGUGUCAGGUUAAGUCCUAUAACGAGCGCAACCCCUGCCGUUAGUUGCCAGCAUGUAAAGAUGGGGACUCUAACGGGACUGCCGGUGCAAACCGUGAGGAAGGUGGGGAUGACGUCAAAUCAUCACGGCCCUUACGUCCUGGGCCACACACGUGCUACAAUGGCCGGUACAGAGAGCAGCCAUGCUGUAAAGCAGCGCGAAUCUACAAAGCCGGUCACAGUUCGGAUUGGGGUCUGCAACCCGACCCCAUGAAGCUGGAAUCGCUAGUAAUCGGAUAUCAGCCAUGAUCCGGUGAAUACGUUCCCGGGCCUUGUACACACCGCCCGUCAAGCCAUGGAAGCCGGGAGUGCCUGAAGUCCGUCACCGCAAGGAGCGGCCUANGGCAAAAUCGGUAACUAGGGCUAAGUCGUAACAAGGUAGCCAUCUUUCUAGAANAUCUC